UCYGGUUGAUCCUGCCRGACCCGACUGCUAUCAGAGUGAGAUUAAGCCAUGCGAGUCAACGUAGCAAUACGUGGCACACGGCUCAGUAACACGUAGUCAACAUAACCAAAGGACGUGGAUAAACUCGGGAAACUGAGGCUAAACCGCGAUAGAUCAAGAUACCUGGAAUGGUUUUUGAUCAAAAUCUAUAUGGCCUUUGGAUUGGACUGCGUCCGAUCAGGCUGUUGGUGAGGUAAUGGCCCACCAAACCUGUAACCGGUACGGGCUCUGAGAGGAGGAGCCCGGAGAUGGGUACUGAGAAAAGGACCCAGGCCCUAUGGGGCGCAGCAGGCGCGAAACCUCUGCAAUAGGCGAAAGCCUGACAGGGUUACUCUGAGUGACUUUCGCUAAGAAAGUCUUUUGACACCUCUAAAAAUGGUGUAGAAUAAGGGGUGGGCAAGUCUGGUGUCAGCCGCCGCGGUAAUACCAGCACCCCGAGUGGUCGGGACGAUUAUUGGGCCUAAAGCAUCCGUAGCCGGUUUUACAAGUCCUCCGUUAAAUCCAGCUGCUUAACAGAUGGGCUGCGGAGGAUACUAUAAGACUAGGAGGCAGGAGAGGCGAGCGGUACUCAGUGGGUAGGGGUAAAAUCCGUUGAUCCGUUGAAGACCACCAGUGGCGAAGGCGGCUUGCCAGAAUGCGCUCGACGGUGAGGGAUGAAAGCUGGGGGAGCAAACCGGAUUAGAUACCCGGGUAGUCCCAGCUGUAAACGAUGCAGACUCGGUGAUGGACUAGCUUUAUGCUAGUCCAGUGCCGCAGGGAAGCCGUUAAGUCUGCCGCCUGGGUAGUACGGUCGCAAGACUGAAACUUAAAGGAAUUGGCGGGGGAGCACCACAAGGGGUGAAGCCUGCGGUUCAAUUGGABUCAACGCCGGR
rnacentral:rRNA from 1 species